GACGAACGCUGGCGGCGUGCUUAACACAUGCAAGACGAACGGAAAGGCCCUUCGGGGUACUCGAGUGGCGAACGGGUGAGUAACACGUGGGUGAUCUGCCCUGCACUUUGGGAUAAGCCUGGGAAACUGGGUCUAAUACCGAAUAUGAUCAUCAGCUUCAUGGUUGGUGGUGGAAAGCUUUUGCGGUGUGGGAUGGGCCCGCGGCCUAUCAGCUUGUUGGUGGGGUAAUGGCCUACCAAGGCGACGACGGGUAGCCGGCCUGAGAGGGUGACCGGCCACACUGGGACUGAGAUACGGCCCAGACUCCUACGGGAGGCAGCAGUGGGGAAUAUUGCACAAUGGGCGCAAGCCUGAUGCAGCGACGCCGCGUGAGGGAUGACGGCCUUCGGGUUGUAAACCUCUUUCAGCACCGACGAAGCGCAAGUGACGGUAUGUGCAGAAGAAGGACCGGCCAACUACGUGCCAGCCGCCGCCGUAAUAC
rnacentral:rRNA from 1 species